rnacentral:rRNA from 1 species
AUGUCGAAAAUAUUAGCAAUUUUGUUAUCAGAAGUUCAGAACUAUCUUUGCUUUAACUUUCUUUGGGCCACAAGAUAUAGGUCGACCCUCAGCCCAUGUCUAUCGUCCACACUUUCGUUGGGCCACUGCCUUCAGUUUCCACCGCCGGACCAGGCAAUAAUGGAUUCAGAUGAUGAAGUUGAUAAUGCUUCCAGACCUCCUGCAGCUCCAUGUGUCCAAGGAAUCUUCAAAAAAUUAUUCAUACCCCAGAUCACCUACUUCACGAUGGAACUGCUCAUAUAUGCUAUUUCCAUCAAUGGAGAAGAUGUGACACAUCACAAUAUUUUUAUAGAGCUUUUAACCUUCUUUACCAUGACGAUGAAUUUUCCAGUUAUCAAGCCACAUUUCCAUCGACCGACGUGGCUCUGA